rnacentral:rRNA from 1 species
ACGCUGGCGGCAGGCCUAACACAUGCAAGUCGAGCGGUAGAGAGAAGCUUGCUUCUCUUGAGAGCGGCGGACGGGUGAGUAAUGCCUAGGAAUCUGCCUGGUAGUGGGGGAUAACGUUCGGAAACGGACGCUAAUACCGCAUACGUCCUACGGGAGAAAGCAGGGGACCUUCGGGCCUUGCGCUAUCAGAUGAGCCUAGGUCGGAUUAGCUAGUUGGUGGGGUAAUGGCUCACCAAGGCGACGAUCCGUAACUGGUCUGAGAGGAUGAUCAGUCACACUGGAACUGAGACACGGUCCAGACUCCUACGGGAGGCAGCAGUGGGGAAUAUUGGACAAUGGGCGAAAGCCUGAUCCAGCCAUGCCGCGUGUGUGAAGAAGGUCUUCGGAUUGUAAAGCACUUUAAGUUGGGAGGAAGGGUUGUAGAUUAAUACUCUGCAAUUUUGACGUUACCGACAGAAUAAGCACCGGCUAACUCUGUGCCAGCAGCCGCGGUAAUACAGAGGGUGCAAGCGUUAAUCGGAAUUACUGGGCGUAAAGCGCGCGUAGGUGGUUAGUUAAGUUGGAUGUGAAAUCCCCGGGCUCAACCUGGGAACUGCAUUCAAAACUGACUGACUAGAGUAUGGUAGAGGGUGGUGGAAUUUCCUGUGUAGCGGUGAAAUGCGUAGAUAUAGGAAGGGACACCAGUGGCGAAGGCGACCACCUGGACUGAUACUGACACUGAGGUGCGAAAGCGUGGGGAGCAAAC